GCAAUAGUGGCUCAGCGACAGAGCGCCG
rnacentral:tRNA from 1 species